rnacentral:rRNA from 1 species
UACUCCUACGGGAGGCAGCAGUGGGGAAUAUUGGACAAUGGGCGCAAGCCUGAUCCAGCCAUACCGCGUGGGUGAAGAAGGCUUCGGGUUGUAAAGCCCUUUUGUUGGAAAGAAAUCCAGCCGGUUUAAAACCGAUUGGUUGACGGUACCCAAAGAAUAAGCACGGCUCAG